GCCGAAAUAGCUCAGUUGGUAGAGCGCCUGAUCCGUAAUCAGUAGGUCGGAGGUUCAAAUCCUCUUUUCGGCACCA
rnacentral:tRNA from 1 species